UACGGGAGGCAGCAGUGGGGAAUAUUGCACAAUGGGCGCAAGCCUGAUGCAGCCAUGCCGCGUGUAUGAAGAAGGCCUUCGGGUUGUAAAGUACUUUCAGUCGUGAGGAAGGUGUUAAGGUUAAUAACCUUAGCAAUUGACGUUAGCGACAGAAGAAGCACCGGCUAACUCCGUGCCAGCAGCCGCGGUAAUACGGAGGGUGCGAGCGUUAAUCGGAAUUACUGGGCGUAAAGGGCACGCAGGCGGUUAAUUAAGUUGGAUGUGAAAUCCCCGGGCUUAACCUGGGAAUGGCAUUCAAGACUGGUUAGCUAGAGUCUUGUAGAGGGGGUAGAAUUCCAUGUGUAGCGGUGAAAUGCGUAGAGAUGUGGAGGAAUACCGGUGGCGAAGGCGGCCCCUGGACAAAGACUGACGCUCAUGUGCGAAGGCGUGGGGAGCAAACAGGAUUAGAUACC
rnacentral:rRNA from 1 species